rnacentral:tRNA from 1 species
GCCUCGGUAGCUCAGUCGGUAGAAGCAGAGGACUGAAAAUCCUCGUGUCGGCAGUUCGAUUCUGCCCUGAGGCACCA